rnacentral:rRNA from 1 species
UACAGAGGUCUCAAGCGUUGUUCGGAUUCAUUGGGCGUAAAGGGUGCGUAGGCGGGUCUUUAGGCCAGGGGUGAAAUCCUGGAGCUCAACUCCAGAACUGCCUUUGAUACUGAAGAUCUUGAGUUCGGGAGAGGUGAGUGGAACUGCGAGUGUAGAGGUGAAAUUCGUAGAUAUUCGCAAGAACACCAGUGGCGAAGGCGGCUCACUGGCCCGAUACUGACGCUGAGGCACGAAAGCGUGAGGAGCAAACAGG